UCUGACUGAAAACCCUGCAGUCUACAUCUGGUACAAGAACAGAGAGUUCCUCUAUCAGGACUGGUCUCCCUGGUACCACCAGCUGGUCAGCAGUGAGGAAGCAGUCACAUACUCCUGUGCUAUCAAAGGCUACGAGCAUCUCAGAGCUCCUGAAGUCUCAGUGGAUUCUGUCACAUCGACCUGCUUUAAUGUGACCUAUGCUGAAGGGACAAUAUGUUCUUAUAAGCAGUCAUCAGAGGAUGAGCCCUGCUCCAUCACAUAUCCCAAAGAGGUUCAUAUUCAAAGGACUCCUGCGGAUGAACCAGGCCGUGUCAGACUGACCUGUAGCACCAGCUGUCCUCUGGUUAACUCCCAAACUGCCUAUAGGUGGUACCGAGGUGCAUACUCAUACAGA